rnacentral:rRNA from 1 species
UGUGGUUGGCGCUACCAUGCAGUCGAACGGUAACAGGAAGCAGCUUGCUGCUUUGCUGACGAGUGGCGGACGGGUGAGUAAUGUCUGGGAAACUGCCUGAUGGAGGGGGAUAACUACUGGAAACGGUAGCUAAUACCGCAUAACGUCGCAAGACCAAAGAGGGGGACCUUAGGGCCUCUUGCCAUCGGAUGUGCCCAGAUGGGAUUAGCUAGUAGGUGGGGUAACGGCUCACCUAGGCGACGAUCCCUAGCUGGUCUGAGAGGAUGACCAGCCACACUGGAACUGAGACACGGUCCAGACUCCUACGGGAGGCAGCAGUGGGGAAUAUUGCACAAUGGGCGCAAGCCUGAUGCAGCCAUGCCGCGUGUAUGAAGAAGGCCUUCGGGUUGUAAAGUACUUUCAGCGGGGAGGAAGGGAGUAAAGUUAAUACCUUUGCUCAUUGACGUUACCCGCAGAAGAAGCACCGGCUAACUCCGUGCCAGCAGCCGCGGUAAUACGGAGGGUGCAAGCGUUAAUCGGAAUUACUGGGCGUAAAGCGCACGCAGGCGGUUUGUUAAGUCAGAUGUGAAAUCCCCGGGCUCAACCUGGGAACUGCAUCUG